rnacentral:rRNA from 1 species
UACUCCUACGGGAGGCAGCAGUUAGGAAUCUUGCGCAAUGGGCGAAAGCCUGACGCAGCCAUGCCGCGUGAAUGAUGAAGGUCUUAGGAUUGUAAAAUUCUUUCAGCGGGGACGAUAAUGACGGUACCCGCAGAAGAAGCUCCGGCUAACUUCGUGCCAGCAGCCGCGGUAAUACGAAGGGGGCUAGCGUUGCUCGGAAUUACUGGGCGUAAAGGGCGCGUAGGCGGAUGUUUAAGUCAGAGGUGAAAGCCCAGGGCUCAACCUUGGAAAUGCCUUUGAUACUGGACAUCUUGAGUAUGGGAGAGGUGAGUGGAACUCCGAGUGUAGAGGUGAAAUUCGUAGAUAUUCGGAAGAACACCAGUGGCGAAGGCGACUCACUGGCCCAUUAC